UGCGACUUGUGUAUUUAUGCUGCUGUGAUAGUGUCCGAUUACGCCUCGCGAUGACGAGGCAGUGAAAACCCCGCCUUUCGUGGCGGGGUUUUGCUUUUAU
rfam:Pseudomonas agarici strain NCPPB 2472 genome.